AUUUUUAACUUUUUUUAAGGUAUGGAAAGAUGAAAUUAUAAAUUCCAUGAAUAAUGCCGGAAAAGAAGAAAAGGAAAUUGCCAUUAAAAAUGGAAAUGUUGACAAACAAGGGAUUCCUUGCAUUUCCGUGCUUAUGGAUGGUGGGUGGUCAAAAAGGAGUUAUGAUCACACAUACAAUGCUUGUUCAGGAGUAGUAAGUUUGUUUUGAAGCAGGCAGUUGUUAUUGGAAAAGCUACUGGAAAAGUCCUUUUUCUGGGAGUGAGGAAUAAAUAUUGUUCCAUUUGUGCGACAAAUGAAAAUAAAGAAGUACCUGAGCACAUAUGCUUUAAAAACUGGAGCGGUUCUUCCAGCGCAAUGGAGUCUGAUAUUAUUGUGGAGGCUUUCAAAUCAAGUAUUGAAAGCCAUGGUUUAAAGUACACCAAAAUAAUUGCCGAUGGAGACUCAAUCGUAUUUUCAAAAAUACGUAAAUAUGUCUCUUUUAGUUUAGAAGUAAGUAUAGUAUAAAAUUAAGUGAUAUAUCUAAUAUGAUUUUACUAUUUUAUUAUAACUAUUUAAGGUACAAAAGGCUGAAUGUACUAAUCAUGUGAUGAAAAAUUUUGGAAAAGCUCUUUAUAAAAUAAAACAGGACACAAAAGGGGUACCUCUUCAGGCCAGAAAACUUUUAAGUCGAGAAAUUUUAGAUGAAUUAUGUCACUCGGUUCAGCAUGCUAUUUACGCCAACAUUAAUGAUGUUAUUACCCUCAAAUGCGAUAUCCAAAAUUCCGUUUUUCAUGUUUUUGGAAACCAUGAAGCCUGCAAAGACUAUCUUUGCACAAAUGUAGGCAACAAAUAACAAAACAACUGUGAUAACUUAAUGGCUUCUGGUUUACAUCACCAUCUACAAGCAGCUCUUAAUAACCUUUCAAGCAAGGCGCAUCUCCUUUUAGAUAAGGAAACAAAUAAUAGAGCUGAGUUAUUUAUGAGCCUUUUAGCAAGGUUUAAUAUGGGAAAAUGACUUAAUUUAAUUCAGAGGGACUCAUUUGAAAUUUGGUCUAUUGUAACAGGGCUAAAAUAUAAUUAUAGUUAUAAAUGGCAUGUCAGUCCCUGGAAAGAAACCUUUAAGCGGAGUCCAGGAAAAUCGCUUCAAAAGUUUAUAUCCCUACAGGAAAAAAAAAGAAAAAGUGACCGAGAUUCAAGAAGACCGAAAAAGCGGCGCCUAGCCUAAUUUUAAAGAAGAAACGGUUCCUGAUUACGGUCAAGACAUUGCCGAAAUCUUGCUUACUCCAGAGCAACUUCAAGUUGAGGUUCAACAAGUUGUUAAACAAUUCAAGGUUACUAAAGAGGAGAUAAUUCAAAUAUCCCAAUCUACUGUCAAGCAGUUUGAUAAUCCUCUUUACCUAACUCACCGAUUGAAUAGGCUAACUGCUUCUAAUUUUGGGGCAGUAGUUAAAAGAAGAAUCGCUACACCUUGCGAUGUUUUAGUGAAAAAAAUAUUAUCGGGUUCGCAAGAUUUUCAAACAGCAAGCACAAGAUAUGGAAAACAAAACGAAUUAGUAGCAAUAAGCGUCUUUUCAGAAAAAAACGGAAAAGUUGUGGUACCUGCAGGCUUAUUUAUUGAUCUAAAUUAUGGUUUUUU
rnacentral:lncRNA from 1 species